rnacentral:ribozyme from 14 species
AAAUGAAAAAAGGAAGUAGGAGGGAGAAAAAAAUAAUGAGGUCAGCUGUACACCUUUUUAAUUGAUGGUAUUUUUAUUUUUAUUGAAUUCUUCUGUCCAUUUUU